rnacentral:lncRNA from 1 species
AGACGGGCCUGCACAUUGGGAAGGUAUUCAGCUGGAUCCCACCUGCUGUCCAGGAUGACUUCAGAGACAGAAUGAGUAACAUGGGCACUCACCUAUAUAACUCCUGACUGUCUUCACACUGACAAUUCAACAUCAGUGGAAUACCAUCACCAGCUCUGUUUGGCUUUUGUUUUCUGGUCCAGGACACAUCAAGGAUGUACCCAUUUGCCCCUUCAGGGAUACCAAGACAGUGAUGGAGGAGUUGCAGCAGCCAUUCUCGGAUCAUGAGUACCCGAAGCCACACAUGAAGAAUGAAUGAGCAAAAACAGAAAAGGCUUAAGUCUCCAUACAGCUCUUGCUCUAACCCCACACUGCCUCUUCUCCUUCUGUUGUACGUAUGUAAUUUAAAACAAAUGAACAUCUGUUUGCUUAGGCUCCC